UACGUAGGGUGCAGGCGUUAAUCGGAAUUACUGGGCGUAAAGCGUGCGCAGGCGGCUCCUUAAGUCAGAUGUGAAAGCCCCGGGCUUAACCUGGGAACUGCGUUUGAAACUGGGGGGCUAGAGUGUGGAAGAGGGGGGUGGAAUUCCAGGUGUAGCAGUGAAAUGCGUAGAGAUCUGGAGGAACACCGAUGGCGAAGGCAGGUCUCUGGGCUGACACUGACGCUCAUGCACGAAAGCGUGGGGAGCAAACAGG
rnacentral:rRNA from 1 species